UGACGUUAGCGGCGGACGGGUGAGUAACACGUGGAUAACCUACCUAUAAGACUGGGAUAACUUCGGGAAACCGGAGCUAAUACCGGAUAAGAUUUUGAACCGCAUGGUUCAAUAGUGAAAGACGGCCUUGCUGUCACUUAUAGAUGGAUCCGCGCCGUAUUAGCUAGUUGGUAAGGUAACGGCUUACCAAGGCAACGAUACGUAGCCGACCUGAGAGGGUGAUCGGCCACACUGGAACUGAGACACGGUCCAGACUCCUACGGGAGGCAGCAGUAGGGAAUCUUCCGCAAUGGGCGAAAGCCUGACGGAGCAACGCCGCGUGAGUGAUGAAGGUCUUCGGAUCGUAAAACUCUGUUAUCAGGGAAGAACAAACGUGUAAGUAACUGUGCACGUCUUGACGGUACCUGAUCAGAAAGCCACGGCUAACUACGUGCCAGCAGCCGCGGUAAUACGUAGGUGGCAAGCGUUAUCCGGAAUUAUUGGGCGUAAAGCGCGCGUAGGCGGUUUUUUAAGUCUGAUGUGAAAGCCCACGGCUCAACCGUGGAGGGUCAUUGGAAACUGGAAAACUUGAGUGCAGAAGAGGAAAGUGGAAUUCCAUGUGUAGCGGUGAAAUGCGCAGAGAUAUGGAGGAACACCAGUGGCGAAGGCGACUUUCUGGUCUGUAACUGACGCUGAUGUGCGAAAGCGUGGGGAUCAAACAGGAUUAGAUACCCUGGUAGUCCACGCCGUAAACGAUGA
rnacentral:rRNA from 1 species